GAUGAACGCUGGCGGCGUGCUUAAUACAUGCAAGUCGAGCGAACAGACGAGGAGCUUGCUCUUCUGACGUUAGCGGCGGACGGGUGAGUCACAAGUGACUAACCUAUCUCUAAGACUGGGAUAACUUAGGGAAACUGUAGCUAAUACUGGAUAAUAUAUCGAACUGCAUGGUUCAAUAGUGAAAGAUGGUUUUGCUGUCAAUUAUAGACGGAUCCGCGCCGCAUUAGCUAGUUGGCAAGGUAACGGCUUACCAAGGCAACGAUGCGUAGCCGACGGGAGAGAGUGGUCGGCCACACGAGAACUGGGACACGGUCCAGGCGCCUACGAGAGGCAGCAGUAGCGAAUCUGCCGCAGUAGGCGGGAGCCUGACGGAGCGACGCCGCGUGAGUGAUGAAGGUCUUCGGAUCGUAAAGCUCUGUUAUGAGUGAAAAACAAAUGUGUAAAUGACUAUGCACGUCUUGACGGUACCUAAUCAGAAAGCCACGGCUAACUACGUG
rnacentral:rRNA from 1 species